AGUGAACGCUGGCGGUAGGCCUAACACAUGCAAGUCGAACGGCAGCACAGUAAGAGCUUGCUCUUACGGGUGGCGAGUGGCGGACGGGUGAGGAAUACAUCGGAAUCUACUUUUUCGUGGGGGAUAACGUAGGGAAACUUACGCUAAUACCGCAUACGACCUACGGGUGAAAGCAGGGGAUCUUCGGACCUUGCGCGAUUGAAUGAGCCGAUGUCGGAUUAGCUAGUUGGCGGGGUAAAGGCCCACAAAGGCGACGAUCCGUAGCUGGUCUGAGAGGAUGACCAGCCACACGGGAACUGAGACACGGUCCAGACUCCUACGGGAGGCGGCGGUGGGGAAUUUUGGACAAUGGGCGAAAGCCUGAUCCAGCCAUACCGCGUGGGUGAAGAAGGCCUUCGGGUUGUAAAGCCCUUUUGUUGGGAAAGAAAAGCAGCAGGUUAAAAACCCGCUGUUCUGACGGUACCCAAAGAAUAAGCACCGGCUAACUUCGUG
rnacentral:rRNA from 1 species